rnacentral:piRNA from 1 species
UNCAUAGCCUCACUAUGAGUAGCACUGUGAU